GAACAGUAUCCCACUAGAAGACAUUCUAAAGAUUUACAGAUAUAGGCCCUCAACUACUCAGUUCUGUAAGACAAUUACGACAAAUGUUCAGUCAUCCAGCAUUUCCUUGCACCCUUUUGCAAUGCUGACUGCUGCUUGUGCAGCAAAGCAUACUACAAUACAGGGCAUCAAACCUAAAGUGGGAAAAACUGCUUCAAAGCAGAACUUUAAGGGUCCUUCUACAGCAAUUCGAUCAGCUCACCAGCCUCAUGGUAGUUGUGAUGUUAUGCAGCAGAAUGCACAAUGUACAUUCAAUACAAAGAAUUUAAAGAAGAGAUGUGAUUUUGAAGGAGUAGCAAUAAAUACCACAGCCAGAGACUCUAUGUUUUGAAUGGCCGAUUGAAGGAUUCGUGGCCGAAGAUGAAAAGCUCAAUAUCUAACUUGAGUUUGGAAGAAAUAGAUGAUCAAUUUGCUCUCAUUCGUGACAAAAAAGAGAAAACGUCCCUGUGCUCAAGAAUUUAUCAUUGCAAUUAAAAUUUGCAUAUGAACAAUUUUAAUAAAAUGCAAAUCUUUUGUCCUCUAUGAC